CCUACGGGAGGCAGCAGUGGGGAAUAUUGCACAAUGGGCGAAAGCCUGAUGCAGCGACGCCGCGUGAGGGAUGACGGCCUUCGGGUUGUAAACCUCUUUCAGCAGGGAAGAAGCGAAAGUGACGGUACCUGCAGAAGAAGCGCCGGCUAACUACGUGCCAGCAGCCGCGGUAAUACGUAGGGCGCAAGCGUUGUCCGGAAUUAUUGGGCGUAAAGAGCUCGUAGGCGGCUUGUCACGUCGGGUGUGAAAGCCCGGGGCUUAACCCCGGGUCUGCAUUCGAUACGGGCUAGCUAGAGUGUGGUAGGGGAGAUCGGAAUUCCUGGUGUAGCGGUGAAAUGCGCAGAUAUCAGGAGGAACACCGGUGGCGAAGGCGGAUCUCUGGGCCAUUACUGACGCUGAGGAGCGAAGGCGUGGGGAGCGAACAGGAUUAGAUACCCUGGUAGUCCACGCCGUAAACGGUGGGAACUAGGUGUUGGCGACAUUCCACGUCGUCGGUGCCGCAGCUAACGCAUUAAGUUCCCCGCCUGGGGAGUACGGCCGCAAGGCUAAAACUCAAAGGAAUUGACGG
rnacentral:rRNA from 1 species